rnacentral:rRNA from 1 species
GGGCCCGCACAAGCGGCGGAGCAUGCGGAUUAAUUCGAUGCAACGCGAAGAACCUUACCUGGGCUUGACAUGUUCCCGACGGUCGUAGAGAUACGGCUUCCCUUCGGGGCGGGUUCACAGGUGGUGCAUGGUCGUCGUCAGCUCGUGUCGUGAGAUGUUGGGUUAAGUCCCGCAACGAGCGCAACCCUCGCCCCGUGUUGCCAGCGGAUUAUGCCGGGAACUCACGGGGGACCGCCGGGGUUAACUCGGAGGAAGGUGGGGAUGACGUCAGAUCAUCAUGCCCCUUACGUCCAGGGCUUCACGCAUGCUACAAUGGCCGGUACAACGGGAUGCGACGCGGCGACGCGGAGCGGAUCCCUGAAAACCGGUCUCAGUUCGGAUCGCAGUCUGCAACUCGACUGCGUGAAGGCGGAGUCGCUAGUAAUCGCGAAUCAGCAACGUCGCGGUGAAUGCGUUCCCGGGCCUU